AUGUUGGUUGCUUUAAAAAACGUUUCUACUUUUUGUCAUGUCUCUAUCCUUUCUGGUUAUUUGCAGAUGAUGUACCGCUUGUUUUCCGCCUUGGGUGUUCUAUUCGGAAUGGCCUCAGCGGACGGCUCUUAUGGCUUAGGGCCGGAGCCAAAGAGGAUAUGUCCUGGGAUGCCAUUCACUUUUACACUGACAUAUAGGAUAAGCGGAGCAGACCUGAUGUUCUACAAGAACGGGGUCGAGAGGAAGGUUGCCACUACCAAGGAGAUUAUAGACCCCCAGUUUCGGCUCAAUGGCAGUGAACCUUAUUUACCCGAGGUCAUGAAAACGCAUGAAGGGAAGUAUUAUUGGAAGGCUCCAUCGGUCGAUUUUGAACUGAAUUACAUCAGACUAAUUCUGAAAGACUGCAGUGUUCGUCAAAAUGUGGUGUACGGUGAGGAGUUGGCCUUAAAUGUGCCGGCGGACGCGUCUGUGUUGGAGUUCACCCCUCACCUCUCAGACCAACACUCCGUCCUGUGGAGACGGAUACACAGAGGGGGGGACGAGGAAGCAAGGGGCGCGGUUAAGGACGGCCGCUGGACAGCACAGAGGAUGACCCAAGCGGAUCAGGGGCGCUACACUUUACUCAGGGAGAGUGGUGGCCAGAUCUCCAGCACUGUGGUCUCUGUUGAAGAACUCCAAAUACAUGCUCACGUGGCUGAUGACGACGUCAGAGAUCACUGGAGAACUGAUGUUAAUAUCUCUGCACGGGAGGCUGUAGUCACUUACUUUACGGCUUUCGGGGGUGAGCAUGUGCUCUUCCGAGACGGCAUGGAGACUGAUGAGGGCUUCGACAUUUUUGGAAAUCGUAUCACACUCCAAAAGUCAACGCUCCAAAAGUCAACUUUCAGCAUCAGCAAAGCGCAGCCAAGUGACGCAGGACGAUACGAGAUCCAUGACAAGAAUGGACAUCUGGCCAUCUCACUGUAUCUGGAGAGAGACCCUGGUCAGUCGUAUGCCAUGACCUGUUUUUAUUGUUGUAUAAUGUAGUUAUUAAUUCUACUUCAAUCUCUUUCUGCGUGUCAACAUUUUUCUCUCUCCUUCAAUCUCUCAGAAGAUGAAGAGUUUUAUCCUACGAGUUUAGCCACUCCUCUUGGCAUAUCUGCGGGCGUGCUGGUUGGACUGCUGUGCUGUUGCUGGUGCUGUUGCAAGUGCUGUGGCAAGUGCUGUGGCCAUGACGAUGGUGACAAGACUGAGUCCGCCGCUGCUUCUCCAGACGCCGAGCAACCCGCUCACAUCCAUGUAAGCGCUUCUAUAUAGGGGAAAGUCUUGCAGGGGUCGUGACCUCGGCCCUUUGUGACAAGAGCAAACACGUGGAGUUGAUUCAUGGAGGGUUAAAAGAAGGAAUAAAAACAAGGCACCCCUGAUGUUAAACUUAAAG
rnacentral:lncRNA from 1 species